rnacentral:rRNA from 1 species
GUGCCAGCCGCCGCGGUAAUACGGAGGGGGCUAGCGUUAUUCGGAAUUAUUGGGCGUAAAGGGCGUGUAGGCGGCUUCGUAAGUCUUGUGUGAAAGCCCUCGGCUCAACCGAGGAAUUGCACGAGAAACUGCGUGGCUCGAGUCCGGGAGAGGAUAGUGGAAUUCCCAGUGUAGCGGUGAAAUGCGUAGAUAUUGGGAGGAACACCGGUGGCGAAGGCGGCUAUCUGGACCGGUACUGACGCUGAUACGCGAAAGCCAGGGGAGCAAACGGGAUUAGAAACCCCUGUAGUCC